UGUGAGUUUCUAGGAAAAAGAAAGAAAAGAAUUGGGCACUGUGAAGGGCAGAGCAGAGGUGUUGGGGAUGUAGAUCUGAGCUCCAGAGGCAAUGUGGAUCCUGGGAUGCAUCUGAAAGUGAUUUUCUGGGUUUCCGGAGUGCCCUUUGUUUCCUUUCCUAAGCCUUCGGUUCAUGUGGAGUAAAAUGGAGUAAAUUUGUGGAGUGAUUUCAUUGAGAAUGGAUGUCAAGUGCUGCAGUGGUGGCGCAUGCCUUUAAUCUGGAAGACAGAGGCCAGUGAGUUCGAGGCCAGUCUGGUUACACAGAGAGUUCUCAGCCAGCCAGCGCUAUAUAGCUACAUAAUGAGACCAUAUCUCCAAAAUAAAUAAUGUUCCCUGAGCCGCAGAGGAGGUGGUACAGCUGUCCCACUGAAGACCAAGCACGCCACUAUCACUUAUCGGUGCUGUGGGUUUCUACAUGAACCAUUGCCUGGUGCGGUAUGGAACUUCUAUGACCAAGGUUGUGAGCAACACUAGUCUCUGAAUAUGAAAGUGACUGGUUCCUCCAAGGGGCGGGACCUGCAGCGGAGAAGAGACUACUGAGUGGGGCUGCUGGGAGCCAUCUGGGGACAGAAGCAGAGAGCAGCCUGGAACUGGAGCUGUGGAGCUCAAGUGUGACUGCUCAAAAGGGAUCCGGAGAAACCAAUGCUUUCCAGCAUGGAGCCCUUCCUGAAAGCCGCCACAACACACUUAAAACCCAGAGGAAAUGAGGGAGGAUCAAGGGCAGCGGGAGAAGCAGCAAAUGAAGGUGAACUGCAGCCACAUUUUUCCUGUUCAACCAAUGCUAUGGAACAGAUUGGGCUGAGCUUUGAACAGCUGGGGCUGGCAGAGUGCGUCCCUAACUCCUCUCGGAAGAGUCCCAGAACUGCCAAGUCAUCACACUUGAAGGGGAAAGGGGGUAAGGAAGGUUACCGGGUCAGUGCCUCCUGCAGGUGCCUUUGCUUUGUGGUCUACUUUGUUAAAUGUUCACUGGUUUGUGGAUCUGGUGGAGGCCGGACUAAUUGAACUCACGAGCUGCUGUGUCUGCCAUAGACCAGACCACUCAGGGGCUCGGCUGAUAUUUUAUUGUUACUUUGUAGGUACCGAAAUGUGAUCACAUAAGUACCUCUGCUGGAACGUGUGGUGCUCCUUCACUCUCUGCAGCCAUUAUUUCAAGGAGAGUUUUGAUGUGCAAAAAUGUGUGCUACCCGAAUAUAAAUUUAACAAUGGUCUGUUGGGACUCUCAGGUGACAGUGUGGCUUCCUGGUGGGUAUAAUAAACGGGAAGCAGGUGGGCAAGUGUAGAUAACGUAAGUGGGUGGCCCAGGGAGACUGAGCCAUCUUUCACAUGUGGCGAGUUUGCCCAUGCAAGGUGGGGUGUGUCUAUGCACGGAUCCUUCGGUAACUUGCUUCAGUUUAAAUUUGUUAUAUAAAAAUCAAGCUACUUUUUUGGCUUCGCUGAGGCUGAGUGACAGCCACUCCUAACGUGUCCUGGGUGGGCCAGGCAAGGACUUUUUACUCCACAUCUCCACAUUAUUUCACCAGAUUGGUCCCUGGAGUAAGAGGCCAGGGAAGAACAGAUAAAGGUUUAUAGCUGGGAAGAGGCAGGUUUGAAUCUGAGCUUUACUGUCAGUUUGGACAAGUUACUCGUCGCU